rnacentral:rRNA from 1 species
ACGGCGGGUGCUAUACAUGCAAGUCGAGCGAACAGAGAAGGAGCUUGCUCCUUUGACGUUAGCGGCGGACGGGUGAGUAACACGUGGGCAACCUACCUUAUAGUUUGGGAUAACUCCGGGAAACCGGGGCUAAUACCGAAUAAUCUAUUUCACUUCAUGGUGAAAUACUGAAAGACGGCAUCUCGCUGUCGCUAUAAGAUGGGCCCGCGGCGCAUUAGCUAGUUGGUGAGGUAACGGCUCACCAAGGCGACGAUGCGUAGCCGACCUGAGAGGGUGAUCGGCCACACUGGGACUGAGACACGGCCCAAACUCCUACGGGAGGCAGCAGUAGGGAAUCUUCCACAAUGGGCGAAAGCCUGAUGGAGCAACGCCGCGUGAGUGAAGAAGGUUUUCGGAUCGUAAAACUCUGUUGUAAGGGAAGAACAAGUACAGUAGUAACUGGCUGUACCUUGACGGUACCUUAUUAGAAAGCCACGGCUAACUACGUGCCAGCAGCCGCGGUAAUACGUAGGUGGCAAGCGUUGUCCGGAAUUAUUGGGCGUAAAGCGCGCGCAGGCGGUCCUUUAAGUCUGAUGUGAAAGCCCACGGCUCAACCGUGGAGGGUCAUUGGAAACUGGGGGACUUGAGUGCAGAAGAGGAAAGUGGAAUUCCAAGUGUAGCGGUGAAAUGCGUAGAGAUUUGGAGGAACACCAGUGGCGAAGGCGACUUUCUGGUCUGUAACUGACGCUGAGGCGCGAAAGCGUGGGGAGCAAACAGGAUUAGAUACCCUGGUAGUCCACGCCGUAAACGAUGAGUGCUAAGUGUUAGGGGGUUUCCGCCCCUUAGUGCUGCAGCUAACGCAUUAAGCACUCCGCCUGGGGAGUACGGUCGCAAGACUGAAACUCAAAGGAAUUGACGGGGGCCCGCACAAGCGGUGGAGCAUGUGUUUAUUCGAAGCACGCGAGACUUACCAGGUCUUGACAUCCCGUUGACCACUGUAGAGAUAUGGUUUUCCCUCGGGGACAACGGUGACAGGUGGGUGCAUGGGUGGUCGUCAGCUC